rnacentral:rRNA from 1 species
UACGGGGGGAGCAAGCGUUGUUCGGAUUUACUGGGCGUAAAGGGCGCGUAGGCGGCCUCUGCAAGUCGACUGUGAAAUCUCCGGGCUUAACCCGGAACGGUCAGCCGAUACUGCAGGGCUAGAGUGCAGAAGGGGCACCGGAAUUCUCGGUGUAGCGGUGAAAUGCGUAGAUAUCGAGAGGAACACCUGCGGCGAAGGCGGGUUGCUGGGCUGACACUGACGCUGAGGCGCGAAAGCUAGGGGAGCGAACGGG